rnacentral:rRNA from 1 species
UACGAAGGGGGCUAGCGUUGCUCGGAAUCACUGGGCGUAAAGCGCACGUAGGCGGAUUGCUAAGUCAGGGGUGAAAUCCUGGAGCUCAACUCCAGAACCGCCUUUGAUACUGGCGAUCUUGAGUCCGGGAGAGGUGAGUGGAACUGCGAGUGUAGAGGUGAAAUUCGUAGAUAUUCGCAAGAACACCAGUGGCGAAGGCGGCUCACUGGCCCGGUAUUGACGCUGAGGCGCGAAAGCCAGGGGAGCAAACGGG